GUGCCAGCCGCCGCGGUAAUACCGGCAGCACGAGUGAUGGCCGCUAUUAUUGGGCCUAAAGCGUCCGUAGCCGGCCGGGCAAGUCCGUCGGGAAAUCCACCCGCUUAACGGGUGGGCGUCCGGCGGAAACUGCUCGGCUUGGGACCGGAGGACUCGAGGGGUACGUCCGGGGUAGGAGUGAAAUCCCGUAAUCCCGGACGGACCGCCGAUGGCGAAAGCACUUCGAGAAAACGGAUCCGACAGUGAGGGACGAAAGCCAGGGUCUCCAACCGGAUUAGAAACCCUAGUAGUCC
rnacentral:rRNA from 1 species